GUUUUCAUGCUGUUAAGCUGCUUCCGUGUGGCAGCAGCAUCCCUGCAUGCAGCAUGUAUGUGUGGGACUCUUGCAUUCCGAAUCGAAUCUGUGCAAAGAUGGUCCUCAGAUCUGCCGUCUUCCCUUAGGGGUCUUCCAAGAGAAACACCCGCCAACUCAAUCCCUCCCUGACCAAGAGACACUGGAGCCUUCAGAUACAUCAGGAGGAGAAGCUGAAUUGAGCACAGUUUCACAAAUAUCUGUGACUUGUAGAUUCCAUGCUGCAGAAAACCAUCAGCAGAAACAGGAGGCUGACCUUGCUGGCCAGAACAAAGGUAGGAUUUACUUUUUUGAUGGCUGUGAAUUUUUUCUUUCUCAUAAGAGAGGAAUUUAAUGAACCUCGAUUCUUAAGGAAGUCAGAAGCAGAUAACUGAAAGUGGGCUUGGCUCUUCCUUAUCUCCCUUGCUCACCUCGGCCACACACCAGGUCUCAGCCCGAACCUCCAAACCCUCAUCUGCCCACUGAAGUGCAGACAUCUUUCAACUUUGACCUAAAUGGUGAUUGAACUUUCAUCCCAAGGAAGCAGUUUUGAACAUUAAGCCACUUCGAGACUUGAAAAGAGCCUGGAUGUGUGAGCUCUUCUUAAGCAAGAAUCCCAAUACCGUGGUCUCUGGCUAACCAAUAGAAUAAACACUGCAUGUCCCAAUCCUAGAGGUGAUAUGUGGGGUGUAGCUAGUCACCAGCAGGAGAUGUUUCUGCCUGACCCAUUUUAAUAGAUAAAUAAGAUGCCAGAGAAAAAGAUAAAGAGUCAGUUCCUUUAACUUUUCCAGACAUUUUAUAUGGAAGAAAAUAUGUAUAUAGCUUAAGAAAGCAGAAGUGAAAAGGGAAAAAAUAUAAGCAUUUUAGGGUAAAUCAUGCUCAUAUCUUGGGUUUCACUUAUAGACAGCCAAAAAAUCAUACCAUCUGUUUGUUGUCUAGAUGACUUUGCAGGUAAAGUUACUUGUCACAAAGCCUAAAGACCCGAGUUCCAUCCUCAGACCUACACAGUGGAAAGAAAGAAUUGACCACCUGAAGUUGUGCUCUGACCCACACAAGCACACCACCAAAUGCAUACAUGCACCCCACAGAAAUAAAAG
rnacentral:lncRNA from 1 species